CGUAAGGACAGGUCGCUGAUAUGUGUGAUGAAGUCGCACAGCCGGGAUGUUUAUUCAGCUUCAAAAUUGUAAAAAAAUCGCCAUAACUGCAAACGCCUUUGCCGAGAUCCUGCAGAAUGCACGUUCGCCUGACUAAAGCUUCCCUGGUCUCCGAGACUUAUUUUAAAAUCUGCCGCAGAUCCACAUCCAUUCGCACCGCAGAUGCUAUAUGUUGAAAAUUGUACAUGGUCUCUCUCUCUCUCUCUCUGUGGCUUUUAAACACAUUUUAACAUAUUGAAACGGUGCACUAUAGAUCGAUCGUGUUCCCUUUAGAAAUUUUACUUAAAAAUUGACCCUUUUUUUUAAA